AGGAGGAUCACAAGUUUGAGGUCAGUCACAGCAGCUUAGCAAGAUCCUGUCUCAAGUUGUUAAAAAAAAGGACUGGGAAUAUAGCUCAGCAGUAAAGCACUCCAGGGUUCAAUACCCAAUACCAAUAAUAAUAGUAGUAAUAAUAAUAUCAACAAUAACAAAAUAAUAAUAAUUUGAAAAAAAUAGCCUGACACAGUGGCACAAACUUAUAAUCCCAGUGACUCUAGAGGCCAGCCCCAGCAACUUAGCUAGACCCUCAGCAACUUAGCAAGACCCUGUUUCAAAAUAAAAAAGAACUGGGGAUGUAGCUUUACCUACCUCUGGGGUUAUCUAGAGCGAAGUCCACGAAGCAGUUGGCUCCUAGGGCCUGGGAUUCAGGAAAAUGAUGCAGAUCAGAAAGAAAGUAGUUAGAAAGAUUGCCCCAUGGGGUGAAGUAUAUUAUGCUCAGGGGCACACAGAAGAGGACAAAGAUUGUGUAUCCUCUGACAUACAAGUGCCACUGAUACACUUGCAUGUCUAUGACACAUGCAUGCUAUCAGGUGAGACAAACCAGAAGGAACUCACUAAUCUGUGGACUGGGUCUGCCAUCCAGGUACUAACUAACGUCCAAGAUCAGGCAUAUUCAGGGUGAUAUGGAUAUGGACUGGACUGGGUCUCUCUUCUUUGGUGAGAAGAGACUCCCAAAGCAGAAGCAGGCUGGAAAGUUACAGGAGAGCCAGGAAGGCAGUCUCAGAAACCCCACUAGGAAGUAGUGUCAAAGGGAAUGGCUCCUGACCACCCAUAGCAGAUGGCAUGGCAGAGGGGACACUGAGAAGGGAACUCCAGGAUUGUUGGUGAUCUUGCUGGAGGGAAGCUGUUGCCAGGAAUGGGUGACUGUGUGGGGGCUGUGGUAAAGAGUGAAUGAAUGAGGCAAGGGAGAACUAGAUGGCCAGAUACAGAUGUGGGUGUGCCCUUGUGCCUCCAAGGGCUUGACUACAAACGGAGAAAUAGAAGUGAGGAGAGGAUAAAGGGAGCUUGUGUGAUUUAAGACUGUUGUUAUUUGUGGGUUCUGAGGAAGGAGCAGUAGAAAGGCAGAAACGGCAAGCUUCCCAGAAGUGAAGGUGGGAAUAGCUUAGCAGACCAAAAGAAGGGGGUUGACUACAGCCCAAAGGACAGUAGAGGGAAGGAAGGGGUUCUGCCAGGAGGCAGUUGGUGGACAUGACAGGGAAAGGGGAGAAACCUUGCAACUGAUGGCUUUGGUUUCUUUUUAAAGC
rnacentral:lncRNA from 1 species